AUGCCUCAAGAUUCGCGCCCGCCAGGGAUGCGCCUCUUCGGCGUCACCAUUGCGCCGGCGCCGGCGCCGCAGUUGGAUCCCCCGGACGGUGACCGGGAUCCGAGCCCCAACCCACCGGUGGCGGCGAGGGAGGACGUGAUGCGCAAGUGCAAGAGCAUGGGCAACCUGGCCGCCCUCGCCUCAGCCUGCCCCUCCGGGGACGCUGGAGGCGCGGGCGACGGGUACCUCUCCGACGGCGGCCUUCUGCAGUCGUCCGGCAAGCGGCGGAGGGCGCAGGAGAGAAAGAAAGCUGUCCCUUGGACUGAAGAAGAGCAUAGGACAUUUCUUGCUGGUCUCGAAAAGCUGGGGAAGGGAGACUGGAGGGGUAUAGCAAAAAAUUUCGUUACUACCAGGACACCAACUCAAGUGGCCAGUCAUGCUCAGAAAUAUUUUCUCAGACAAACUAAUCCAAACAAGAAGAAGCGCAGGUCUAGCCUUUUCGAUAUGAUGGCAAGCGAUUUGUCACCAGCACCAAAUUGCCCCAUCUUACCACCAACAAUGGCAAAAUUUCAUGAUAUGGUAACUAUGACUAAUCAACUCCAGAACAGCAGCUUGGAAGGAGUAUCAUCUUCGAAUGCAGCUAAUCUAGCAAAACAAGUUACAAGAGAUCUUCCUCCCCCAGUUCCAUCUUUUACGGCAACAAAUGUGGAUGGAAGUCUCAGCAAAAUGAACCACAUGGAUUGCUUCUCGCGGGUACCCUCGCUGUUCAGACCAAUUCCAAUAGUCCCUGAAGGGACACCUCCAUCAGCUCCCGCGACUGCCAACACAAGUGCCCUGACAUUUGAAGCUAACCUGACUUCAUGUACUAGCGCAUUCCUGAUCCCGCAAAGCGGUCCUUCACCAUUGCCUCCUGCGACGGCUGCGAAGACAGAUCAUGCAGCAGAGAACAAGGAUCUGGAGCUGACGGUUGGCCUGCCCUCCCAACAAAACAUGACCAACAACAUUUCUUCCCGGAAUGCAGUAGGCGUGAUCCAAGUUGUUUAA
rnacentral:rRNA from 1 species